rnacentral:lncRNA from 1 species
UUCAUAUUUUCCUAACCUGUGUGGUCUUUGUGGGAGGAAUAACCCAGACUAGGAAUGCCAGCAUCUGCCAAGCAGCUGUUACUACACAUCUGUAAACAAACUGCCUACAAGAAGUCAGAUGAUGGGUCUCAGAUCAACUACAUCCAUGUGUAGAAGAUAGCUCCUCUGUGUUCUCAGUCUUUCUCCUCUUCUUCAUGUCGCUGACUCCCACUUACCUUGCAGGUCUCACUUUAUUGUUACUGUUUCGGAGAUUCUGUUCCUGUAUCCCCCAGUGUUAUUCUGUGGACCUGUAUUAUUCUGUU